GAGUGACAGGUUGCAGGCUGCAGCCUGGCCAUCCUGCAGGCUGGGAAGCACAGCCCCUGGCAAAAACCAGACGCGAGCACUUCAGAGAAGGAAGGAUGAGACAGGAAUUGAAGCUGAACAGAGUUGAAGACCAUGUAUAUACAAGAAGCGAGAGGAGAGACCUGCUACUAAGGCCAGUGGGAAAGCGAAAGAACUUGGUGAUCUCUUUACGCAUACCUGCUCCCCUUCCACUUUCCACCAUGACUGGAAGCACCAUGAGGCCCUCACCAGAUGGAGCUGCUCAAUCUUAAACUUUUCAGCCACCAGAAUUAUAAGCCAAAUAAAUUUCUUUUCUUUAUAAAUUACCCAGCCUCAGGCAUUCUGUUAGGGCAACACAAGAUGGACUAAGACAAUGCUAGUACUACUAGAAAGUGAGUUUUCUCUUUUGCCCUGGACUGACCAGA
rnacentral:lncRNA from 1 species